rnacentral:rRNA from 1 species
CACGUAGGGGACGAGCGUUGUCCGGAAUCAUUGGGCGUAAAGGGUGCGUAGGCGGCUCGGUAAGUCGGAUGUGAAAUCUCGGAGCUUAACUCCGAAACUGCAUUCGAUACUGCCGUGCUUGAGGACUGGAGAGGAGACUGGAAUUUACGGUGUAGCGGUGGAAUGCGUAGAUAUCGUAAGGAAGACCAGUGGCGAAGGCGGGUCUCUGGACAGUUCCUGACGCUGAGGCACGAAGGCCAGGGGAGCAAACGGG